AUUGAACGCUGGCGGCAGGCUUAACACAUGCAAGUCGAGCGAGCGGUGGACGGGUGUGCUAUGUCUGGGAAACUGCCUGAUGGAGGUGGAUCACCACUGGAACCGGUAGCUAAUCCCGCAUACCAUCAGAUGUGCACAGCUGGGAUUAGCUAGUAGGUGGGGUAAUGGCUCACCUAGGCGACGAUCCCUAGCUUGUCUGAGAGGAUGACAAGCCACACUGGAACUGAGACACGGUCCGGACUCCUACGGGAGGGAGAAGUGGGGAAUAUUGCACAAUGGGCGCAAGCCUGAUGCAGCCAUGCCGCGUGUAUGAAGAAGGCCAUCGGGUUGUAAAGCACUUUCAGCGGGGAGGCGUUACUCACAGAAGAAGCACCGUCUAACUCCGUGCCAGCAGCCGCGGUAAUUC
rnacentral:rRNA from 1 species